AACGAACGCUGGCGGCAUGCCUAACACAUGCAAGUCGAACGAGACCUUCGGGUCUAGUGGCGCACGGGUGCGUAACGCGUGGGGAUCUGCCCUUUGCUUCGGAAUAACAGUUAGAAAUGACUGCUAAUACCGGAUGAUGACUUCGGUCCAAAGAUUUAUCGGCAAAGGAUGAACCCGCGUAGGAUUAGCUAAUUGGUGGGGUAAAGGCCUACCAAGGCGACGAUCCUUAGCUGGUCUGAGAGGAUGAUCAGCCACACUGGGACUGAGACACGGCCCAGACUCCUACGGGAGGCAGCAGUGGGGAAUAUUGGACAAUGGGCGAAAGCCUGAUCCAGCAAUGCCGCGUGAGUGAUGAAGGCCUUAGGGUUGUAAAGCUCUUUUACCCGGGAUGAUAAUGACAGUACCGGGAGAAUAAGCUCCGGCUAACUCCGUGCCAGCAGCCGCGGUAAU
rnacentral:rRNA from 1 species